AGUCGAUACACUGCACUCUGCCAAGUCGACCCCCUCCCGCACCCCCUCCCAAUUUUUCAAAGUACUGUGCAUCGCACACGUGCGUCCGUUCCUUUCGUUAUUGGUUCUUUUUGUUUAUUCACGCGCUCUCUCUCCGCCUCCUGCGGGCGGGUGUGGCUUGCCCACAAAGGAGUUGUUCGCCCUCCAUCUCCCUCUUCAGGCUUUCGUUCAUUCCUGUGACGGUUCCCUACCGUACGUACCUACACGUGCGUCGCACCGCCGCUCUCCUUCGUCUUCCUCGCACCGUUCACCCCUGUUAUUCGCCAUGGUAGUGCUCAGCAAGAAGGAGUUCUACUACGCGUGGAACCAGUACCACCUGCUUGACUGGAUCGUCCUGACCGUCCUGCUCCUGAUCUCCAUGAUCGUCACGAUUUCGAUGAAGCCGCACUGUCGAACCUUCUCCUGGAAUGACGCCACUAUCGCGUACCCGAGCCAUGCAGACACGUUCCCCGAUUACUCGCUGGCACUCAUGCUGGUGUUUUCCGUCGUGUUUUACGUGAUAUUCAUCUGGUACCUCGUGCGGCCACUGCAGGAGUUCGUCGGUGAGCCGCUGGACUGGUAUAGCAUCGGCGGUGCUGACGCCGGCACAAGCGGCGAGGGCAACGCGUACGCAGAAAUGGACACUGUAGUGAACACGAGGCAGCCGCGCAUCCGCGACAUGCAGACUGGCCGUGGUCUGGUGUAUCCGUGGCUGCGUGCACAGCUCUGGUCUGUUGGAAUGGAGUCCUGCGCGACAGCGGUACUCAAGGUGUACGCCGGCCGGCUUCGACCAGACUACCUGAGCCGGCUCAAGGCAGCUGGGUACACGAGCUCGAUGUCGCAUCUGCCCGACCCACAGACAAACCCUGACUACUACUGCGCCCUUAUGGAUGCCCACCCCGCGCUGAAGGAGGGCCGGCUAUCUUUUCCAUCCGGGCACAGCAGCACGUCCUUUGCGGUGUGCACAGUCGUCUGUCUCUUCUUCGUCGCCCAUCUGCGUCCAUUUGCGCGGCACGCCAGCUUUACCCGGCUCAUUAUUUGCCUGUUGCCGAUCUCCGUAUCGCUCAUGUGUGCCGUGAGCCGCACGCGCGACAACAAGCACCAUUUUUCUGACAUCAUCGCCGGCUCGCUGAUCGGGGUCGUCUCUGCCUUUCUGUCGUUCUACGGUAGCUUCCGGCAGGUAGGCGGAGCGGCUGGCAUCUACUUUAGCCGCACGGCGACGGACAUCGAGUAUGAACAGUUGCGCGAGUGGAAAUCAGCUGGCGGCAACGAAGGCAGCGGUGCUGCCGUGGAGAUCCCUACUGCUGGCGGCAGCAGUGCCAACUACCAAUCGACUAACAAGAGGGAAGAAGCCGCGCGUUGUAGGUCUGCGUCGCCGAUAAACAGGAUGAACGACGCUGUGGUGACCUUCAACGACUCGGUGCGGCGGCCGACAGGGCUGACGGAGCGGCGGUUGAACGAGGACCCAGCGGCCGUUCCGUGGAUCUAACCUGCACGUGCAUGCGUGCCCGUACCCAUGCUAUGUGAAAGCUCGCUCCGUGGUCACUGUUCCCGUUAGCCCAUCUCAACAAGCAGGAUCGCCUGUAAUGGACACAAGCACGCACGCACACACACACACACAUACACACAACAUACAGGCGUGAAGCAGCGACAGCGACAGGCGCAAGAGAGGACGGGAUGCGGGCGGGACGAGAGUGCUGCAGUGUAUCGUCGCAGCGCUAAUAAGGGCAUGAGACGCAGCCGCUACUGAAACAGAGCAAGAAAGGCCUAGCGCAAGCAGCAGACAUGUCGCCUGCAGAUGGAGACAGAGGGCUUCCGCGAGAUGAAGAGAGAGGGAUAGAAGAAGAGGCGAUCCAGUGCGGAUAGAGACAGAAACAAGCAAAACGAAAAGCAGGAAAGCGCCCACUUGUGUGUGUCGGCGUGUGUAGGUGUAUAUAUAUAUAUAUUUGUAUGUAUGUGGGCAGGUGUGUAGCUCUCUCUAUUUCUAUCGGUCUCUCUCCCUUCCUCUUCGUGCACUCGCACGACAUCCUCGGAAGAAGCCCGAGCAAAGAGGUCGGCAGCCUGGUCUUACGUUUAUGAGACUCCUCGCCCCGCCCCUCUCUCGUCCCUUCAAGAUCCUGAUACAUGCGUAGUAGGCUGGAAACGCGCUGUGUGGGGCUGUAUGUGUGUGUGGAUGUAGUGUGCGCUGACAAGGCGUGCGCGUUAUCGUCUUUUUUUGUGAGGGUGAAGUCUUUCAUGUCUGAAUUUGUAAUGGAGUGCACUCAAGCCGCGCACUUGCCUCGACUCGAAGGAGACGCGAAGGGAACAAGAAGCUCCUGCGCGUGCACCUGUGUCACCUC
rnacentral:misc_RNA from 1 species